UCCAUUGGGAGUGCUGGUAAAGUUACAUCACUGACACUGUCACCGCUUGUGGAAAACAAGCUCAGACUCCGCUACAGUGGUGAAGUUCAGGAGUGGACUUUAACCAUCAUCCCACGUGAGCACCCAAUAACCCAAUAAUGUUUUUAAAUGUUCAGUUACACUAAAAAUAUUUUAUGUUGCAUACAAUGGUUGCCCUUGUUUGUAGAUACAAAGUUCAUCAAAGUAACAGGACGCAACAAACCCACUGGAGUUCCAACAAAUGCCACUACGGGCUUCCUGAAGACAUUAAGUCCAUCUGAAGCAUUUGCUUGUGAAAAUGGGACUUUAUUCUUCCACCAGGAUGAAAGUUUCUUCUUUGCAGUGGGACACACUAUGCGCCUCCCUGUCACACUGGGGUCCAGGAGUCCCUCCAUGCUGCAGGUUUCCUGGCUGGUGAAUCAGCCAGAAGUGUUCCACAGUCAUCGAGUGAGGCUGUACCAGGCUCAACUGGGCUCAUUCAGCACACACCGGACCGAGACCACCACCCACAACCACCAUCAGUUCUCUGCUCUGGACUCAUGCAGCCGUUACAUCACCUGUGUUGAGAUCGCAGACAGUCACUCCUUCAUCUGUAUCUCAACCAUUACUGACCCAGACAUCCCUGUGGACUUUGUGGUGAGGUCGUGGAACAGCAGCAGCAUUUCGCUGGCCUGGGACUGUCCCGUGAACCGCAGGUACUCCCUCUUCCUCCUCUCGGCCUUCUACCUCAACGGGACAGAUGACAUCACUGAGGAGAAAACGCUGUGGCUCAGAGACAACGACUUCUCCUUCACCCUGUCUGACCUGCAGCCCUGCAGCAGAGUUCAGUUUGGCCUGCAGGCUGUGUGUCAGGCAGGGGUGGAGACGCGCUACAGCACCAUGGUUAUGAGUGAUGGAAACUCUGCCCACUCCACUAUUAGAGCCCUACGUCAGACCUCAUUCAGCCCUGACUCCUACACCCUCAGCUGGGAGGUGGGCACCUUCUCAUCCAUCUCCAUGUUCCGUGUUUACCACGAGGGGGUGCUCCAGGGCACUACACUCACCACCAGCUACACUGUGGGGGGGCUGCUGCCCUGCCACCAGUACCAAGCCAGGGCAGAGGCCCUGUGUGGAGAGAGCGUGGUCAUGAACUCCAAGACUGUAGCAGCUCACACAGGUAAU
rnacentral:lncRNA from 1 species